rnacentral:rRNA from 1 species
AUGGUGAAGCAACUCAAGGUGUUGAUGCCCUCUUGCCUCCACAAGCUGCGCAUCUCCGACCAGUUCGCCGAGCACUUGGGUGCCUGUGCACGAGGAACCGGGAUGCCCCACCCAAAGGUCUUUGUAGUCAGCUCAUUCGGCAAAAUCUUUCACGUCGAUAUCGGCCGGGAUGGCAAGGGCGCGUUCUUGGGUUACGGAUGGCCCGAGUUCGUGAAAGCGAGCGGCUUCGGCUUAGGGUGGUUCUUGGUGCUCCAGCAUGAAGGUCGUGGGGUGCUCACCGUCAAGGCCUUCGACCUCACGUGGUGCCUCAAGGAGUUGGGCGGCUUUCCGCCCUCUACAGGUAGGUUACUGAAGAAACGGGGUAAGUUUAGAGUUAGAGGGAAGGCAGAUUUGUCCCUCUGUUACCUAAUAACGAUUCAGUUUUCAUCAGUUCAUAAUGGCCAUACAUACAUACUGGUAACUGAAGGAGGCAUCAUGUUUGAUUGUAGAACCUAG